rnacentral:misc_RNA from 1 species
UUUUUUUUCAUAAUAAAAAAAUUUUAAAUUCUUAUUAGAAUUUCUGUUAACAUAUAAAACGUGAACUAUAUGGACUUACUUAUCACAAAUCAAAUCAAAACCACAUCACUUACUGCUUAAUUAAAGGACUGCCAAGUUACCUCAACUACAGUACAUGAUCUACAUCAAUUCUAUCCCCUAGCCCCAUCAUUACUUCCAACUAGAGAGAAUGACCAUAAACAUCUGCCUACAAUUUCCAUUGAUACUUGUACCAAUCGGAUCUUCAUACAGCUGCAGGUUUCUUGGAAAGCAAAGCUUCCAGAUCUUUAGGGUCGGUGACUGGAGGGCUACAAGUGAAGUUUUGACAGACCAGAGCCACCACCUUAUCUGGAACAAAAUUAUUCUUUGCCAUGAGUGCUAUGUUGCUAUUAUUGUCUUCCCAAAUUUCCAUUUCUUCAUUUUUAGUGGGAUCUAUAUGAAUUACUGUUUUGUUGGGAUCAUAUAAUGUAUGAGCAGCAGCCAGCAUAUUAUCAAACUCCAAGGACUCCCUGUGGCCAACUAAGACAACUUGCUUCCGGGAAGGCACAGAGAUCAAGUCUGCUGCACAACACAUCAAAGGAACUGCCAUAGCCAUGUCUUUUAGUCUUGUCUCGAAAACCGCCAGCAGAUGCUCUGCAUUCUGCCUGUAAUAAUCAGAUUUACUCCCAGCCACCAUAGAAGCCAAUCUUAUAAGAUUAAUUGCAGAAACAGAGUUUCCAGAGGGCUCUGCUCCAUCGUGAUCCUCCUUUACUCGGAGGAGAACUGAAGGGUCUUCCCCUGGGGUAUUAAAAUAGCCUCCUCCCUCUCUAUCAAGAAAUAUUUCAUCCUGUGUAUUCUGUAAUUCAGUUGCCCACACUAGCCAGUAGAUUCCACCACCAAACUCGUAAAGAUCCAGCAGCCCAGAAAUAAGAAAAGCGUAAUCAUCCAAGAACCCAGGUGCUUUAGAUGGACCAUUCCUAAAGCUGUGCUGUAGCCUGCAUGUUUGUUCAUUAUAAAGAUGUCUUCUGAUAAAUGUUGCUGCCUUCUCUGCGACUUCUAAGUACUCCUUGGGAUCACAGCCAACAAUAGGAAAGUGGUAUUUUGUGCCAUCAGUUUCUCGCUUGAGAAUCUUAGAAGCUCUUGCAAAAGAUGAAAUUGCAAGCCCAUUCCAUGAUACAAUUACCUUAUCAUCCAAAUGUGGCCUAGGACGUUUUGAUCUCACAUCAAAAAGCUUUUGCUUACAUUCACCCAGAAUAUCAAGAUAUUUUGAGAUGGGCAAGCCAAGUUUUGAUGCCAAUGCCGAGGUAUCAUUUAAUUCAAUAAGCACAUUUUUCCCCUUAAAUUCAUUAUGAGGAUCACUCAUCCUAGAAAGGUCACAAUUUCCCAGCAGCUUUAUGUAAUAAUGAUCCUUAAAAAGUGUUGCAUGCCCUCCAAGGAUGUCAUCAAUCUCUUUACUGGUCCAUACAUAAAAGGCUCCCUCCUUUUUCUCUUUAGCACCUUCAUGCUCAGCACUGUCAGCAUCCUCUGCUGAAAAGAUUUCACCCUCUGGUCCUAUCAUCUCUCUCCUCAAAUAAUCAAGAACAUCCCGGGAUACAAGUGAAUAGAAGACAUCAUUGGUAAUGGAGAAAGCAUCCGAGUAAACAUUAGCAAGUUGCCCUUGAUCAUACAGCAUUUUCUCAAAAUGAGGAACAUGCCAUCGUUCAUCCACACUAUAUCUGUGAAAGCCACCUCCAAUGUGAUCAUGAAUGCCUCCUUUUGCCAUGCAUUGCAAGCUAAAGAAAACCAUCUUCUGACCUUCCUUUGCUUCACCCUGUUUCCCAGUAUCCUCCAAUUUUUUUGAAUGGUAAAGCAUCAGUUGGAUCUCAACUGGUCUCGGAAACUUUGGAGCAGAUCCAAAUCCACCAUACCUGGAAUCAUAACUUUGAGAAAAUUGCUCUGCACAUAAUUGCAAAGCAUUUUGUGGAAGUCCAUCUGGCAAUUUGUUUGUACUUGCACUUGCUGAUAAUGCUUCAGAUAGCUGCUCAAUAGCAAAGGCUCCACUCUUAGUAAGCAUAUCUCUCUUGUUGUCCCAAGCAUCCUUCACCUUUCUGAGUAUGGUCUUAAAUCCUGGUCUUCCAUAAUUAUCAUCUGGGGGGAAGUAAGUCCCACCCAUCAAAGGUUUCAAAUCAGGUGAAAG